rnacentral:rRNA from 1 species
GAUGAACGCUGGCGGCGUGCCUAAUACAUGCAAGUCGAGCGAACGGACGAGAAGCUUGCUUCUCUGAUGUUAGCGGCGGACGGGUGAGUAACACGUGGAUAACCUACCUAUAAGACUGGGAUAACUUCGGGAAACCGGAGCUAAUACCGGAUAAUAUUUUGAACCGCAUGGUUCAAAAGUGAAAGACGGUCUUGCUGUCACUUAUAGAUGGAUCCGCGCUGCACUAGCUAGUUGGUAAGGUAACGGCUUACCAAGGCAACGAUGCAUAGCCGACCUGAGAGGGUGAUCGGCCACACUGGAACUGAGACACGGUCCAGACUCCUACGGGAGGCAGCAGUAGGGAAUCUUCCACAAUGGGCGAAAGCCUGACGGAGCAACGCCGCGUGAGUGAUGAAGGUCUUCGGAUCGUAAAACUCUGUUAUUAGGGAAGAACAUAUGUGUAAGUAACUGUGCACAUCUUGACGGUACCUAAUCAGAAAGCCACGGCUAACUACGUG